rnacentral:rRNA from 1 species
CCAGACUCCUACGGGAGGCAGCAGUGGGGAAUAUUGCACAAUGGGGGAAACCCUGAUGCAGCAACGCCGCGUGAGUGAGGAAGUAUUUCGGUAUGUAAAGCUCUAUCAGCAGGGAAUAGAAAAGAAGGUACCUGAAAAAGAAGCCCCGGCUAACUACGUGCCAGCAGCCGCGGUAAUACGUAGGGGGCAAGCGUUAUCCGGAUUUACUGGGUGUAAAGGGAGCGUAGACGGAAAGGCAAGUCAGAAGUGAAAGCCCAAGGCUCAACCAUGGGACUGCUUUUGAAACUGUCAGUCUUGAGUACCGGAGAGGUCAUCGGAAUUCCUUGUGUAGCAGUGAAAUGCGUAGAUAUAAGGAAGAACACCAGUGGCGAAGGCGGAUGACUGGACGGCAACUGACGGUGAGGCGCGAAAGCGUGGGGAGCAAACAGGAUUAGAUACCCUUGUA